rnacentral:rRNA from 1 species
GAUGAACGCUGGCGGCGUGCUUAACACAUGCAAGUCGAACGAUGAAGCCCAGCUUGCUGGGUGGAUUAGUGGCGAACGGGUGAGUAACACGUGAGUAACCUGCCCUUAACUCUGGGAUAAGCCUGGGAAACUGGGUCUAAUACCGGAUAGGAGCGCCUACCGCAUGGUGGGUGUUGGAAAGAUUUAUCGGUUUUGGAUGGACUCGCGGCCUAUCAGCUUGUUGGUGAGGUAGUGGCUCACCAAGGCGACGACGGGUAGCCGGCCUGAGAGGGUGACCGGCCACACUGGGACUGAGACACGGCCCAGACUCCUACGGGAGGCAGCAGUGGGGAAUAUUGCACAAUGGGCGAAAGCCUGAUGCAGCGACGCCGCGUGAGGGAUGACGGCCUUCGGGUUGUAAACCUCUUUCAGUAGGGAAGAAGCGAAAGUGACGGUACCUGCAGAAGAAGCACCGGCUAACUACGUG